rnacentral:rRNA from 1 species
UACGUAGGGCGCAAGCGUUAUCCGGAAUUACUGGGCGUAAAGCGCGCGUAGGCGGCUUGUUAAGUCAAAUGUGAAAUCCCCGAGCUUAACUUGGGCAUUGCAUUCGAUACUGGCAAGCUAGAGUAUGGGAGAGGAAGGUAGAAUUCCAGGUGUAGCGGUGAAAUGCGUAGAGAUCUGGAGGAAUACCGAUGGCGAAGGCAGCCUUCUGGCCUAAUACUGACGCUGAGGUGCGAAAGCAUGGGGAGCAAACAGG